rnacentral:lncRNA from 1 species
GCAGCCAUAUUGAAGUAUUGAACUGAAAUAAUAUAAAUGAAAGUAGAAAAAUCUGUGGCCAUACUUGAUCGAUUGACUAAAAUUGGAAAAUCUGGAACCACAGAAGAGUGAAAAUGCCCUAAGUUUUGCAGUGCAUCACAUAAUUCAAGUUUUCAAAGAAAUGGUGGGCACAAGAGGUAUGAAGGGUACAAAUUAGCACCGACCCAUUAUGUCUGCCAAAUCAAAAUCAAAAUGACAUUAUCCUAUAAUUAUAUCAUCUUAACUCGUGAACAUUUUUGACCCAACUUUUUCAUUACAAACUUCACGGUUCACACCUAUGUACCCGUCAACAUCUUCCCAC